rnacentral:rRNA from 1 species
CGGACGGGUGAGUAAUGCUUGGGAAUCUGGCUUAUGGAGGGGGAUAACUACGGGAAACUGUAGCUAAUACCGCGUAAUAUCUUCGGAUUAAAGGGUGGGACUUUCGGGCCACCUGCCAUAAGAUGAGCCCAAGUGGGAUUAGGUAGUUGGUGGGGUAAAGGCCUACCAAGCCGACGAUCUCUAGCUGGUCUGAGAGGAUGACCAGCCACACUGGAACUGAGACACGGUCCAGACUCCUACGGGAGGCAGCAGUGGGGAAUAUUGCACAGUGGGGGGAACCCAGAUGCAGCCAUGCCGCGUGAAUGAAGAAGGCCUUCGGGUUGUAAAGUUCUUUCGGUGAUGAGGAAGGUGUUUGUUUUAAUAGAACAAGCAAUUGACGUUAGUCACAGAAGAAGCACCGGCUAACUCCGUGCCAGCAGCCGCGGUAAUACGGAGGGUGCGAGCGUUAAUCGGAAUGACUGGGCGUAAAGGGCACGCAGGCGGUGACUUAAGUGAGAUGUGAAAGCCCCGAGCUUAACUUGGGAAUUGCAUUUCAUACUGGGUCGCUAGAGUAUUUUAGGGAGGGGUAGAAUUCCACGUGUAGCGGUGAAAUGCGUAGAGAUGUGGAGGAAUACCGAAGGCGAAGGCAGCCCCUUGGGAAUAUACUGACGCUCAUGUGCGAAAGCGUGGGGAGCAAACAGGAUUAGAUACCCUGGUAGUCCACGC